ACGGACCCCGCACAAGCGGUGGAUCAUGUUUGUUUAAUUCGAUGAUACGCGAAGAACCUUACCAGGUCUUGUACAUCCCCCGCGAUGCUUUUAGAGAUAAAGCGGAGGUAUUCGGGGAGACAGGUGGUGCAUGGUUGUCGUCAGCUCGUGUCGUGAGAUGUUGGGUUAAGUCCGUAACGAGCGCAACCCUUGUCCUUAGUUACCAGCACGUUAUGGUGGGCACUCUAAGGAGACUGCCGGUGACAAACCGGAGGAAGGUGGGGAUGACGUCAAGUCAUCAUGGCCCUUACGGCCUGGGCUACACACGUGCUACAAUGGUCGGUACAAAGGGUUGCCAAGCCGCGAGGUGGAGCUAAUCCCAUAAAACCGAUCGUAGUCCGGAUCGCAGUCUGCAACUCGACUGCGUGAAGUCGGAAUCGCUAGUAAUCGUGAAUCAGAAUGUCACGGUGAAUACGUUCCCGGGCCUU
rnacentral:rRNA from 1 species